UUUAUGGAGAUGUGUCAAGUGCUGGAAGAGUUGUCCUGCAAAACACAAGCCAUCACUGUUCUGCACUGCAGCAAUAAUUAUGGAGACUCAAGUUGUCCAGAUUCUGCUGUUGUGUAUUGUGUCCACCUGCUGGGGACAGCAAGCCUCACUGACCCCCUGGGCCCAUGGGAUCCUAUCGUCACCACUAACAAUAUGGAGAUCCACAUCACUGACGUUGGAGAAGAUGGUAGUCUGCCCUCUCCGGCUCGCCUGUCACAUUGACCUCACUACCUAGUAUGAGAUCAGGUGGCUUAUACUGCACCGGAUGUGGAAAUGCCCUAAUUUUUGUUAUUUUCCCUAAGCUAACCCAAACCCCUCCCUCUUCAAAAUAACAUCCGGUGCCGUAUAUGCCACCUGACCCGGACCCGUAUGGCUGAGAACAAUGGUCAGGGAGGACUGGGACAGUGGACAUAUCCUGAUGGGAGUGUGUUACUGAACACUGCUGCAUCAUACCAACUCAACCUGGCCACGUGUUCACCUUCUUCAUGAGUUCAUGAAACUACCUAUCCCCCUCCCCCUACAAUUGCACCAGAUGUUCUGGUAAUCUCCAGGCCAUUUAAUGGUGGAUCCAGACCAGUGGCCUCGGAUGCAGCCAGUUACAAGUGCUUCAAUCCCACAAAAAUUAAUACCGACCACCAUGUUGGUUUCAUACACUCUGAUUGGAGUGUCAGUCAGUUAGGACUUGUGGGAGUUAUGGAGCUCAUCAACAGCUGCAGUGUAUGGUCAUUAAUUGAUGUGGCACUAUAAGAGCUGCAUGGUGACUGUGGGUAUACCCAUAUAAUAUAGGCCCUUAUAUGGGAAGAUUCAGACGAGGACCUCUAUACUUAUAUGGAAUGAACUCAUGCUGGACUGUUGGAGGAGGAAUCAAGUGGAUUGCUCUGUCAUCCAUGAGAAGCUGGCCUAUUCAUGAGUUCAUAAUUAGUUUGAUUGUCAUGUUGCUUCUUUAAUAUACCACAUGCAUGCAUGCUUGAGCUACAUCAUAUUAUACAUAUUACAUGCAUGUAUGUACGUACAUGUGUCUCUUUAUAUGCAUGGCUCUCUAUGGCUCUAUGUAUAAUUAUAAUUAUGAUCAUUUGUGUGCUAUUUUCACUGCAGAAUCUGUUGGCCGGUCGCUCAAUCAAUUACUGUUCUAUAAUUAUAGCACUAACACUCAUCAUGACACUCCAAACCUUUUAUUGAUCGUUUUUCAAUCACGCUUCAUCUAUUUUUUUGACCGUGUAUAGUUAGUUUUUUCUUCAGUGUCUCAGUCAUCUCUCUUGUUAUCUUAUCAAGCUAGUCUAUAUAGGACCCACAUGAAAAGCCACAACUUUGUGGAUGUGGUAUUCCUAAUAUUAUCUAUCUAUCAAGUCGUGUUACACAUUUGGACUUGAAAUUUUAA